GACAGUCUCAGUUCGGAUUGAAGGCUGAAAUUCGCCUUCAUGAAGCCGGAAUUGCUAGUAAUGGCAGGUCAGCAUACUGCCGUGAAUACGUUCCCGGGCCUUGUACACACCGCCCGUCACACCAUGAGAGUUGGGAAUACCCGAAGCCUGUGAGCUAACUUUUAGAGGCAGCAGUCGAAGGUAGAAUCAAUGAUUGGGGUGAAGUCGUAACAAGGUAAC
rnacentral:rRNA from 1 species